AUGAACGCUAGCUACAGGCUUAACACAUGCAAGUCGAGGGGCAGCAUGGUCUUAGCUUGCUAAGGCCGAUGGCGACCGGCGCACGGGUGAGUAACACGUAUCCAACCUGCCGUCUACUCUUGGACAGCCUUCUGAAAGGAAGAUUAAUACAAGAUGGCAUCAUGAGUUCACAUGUUCACAUGAUUAAAGGUAUUCCGGUAGACGAUGGGGAUGCGUUCCAUUAGAUAGUAGGCGGGGUAACGGCCCACCUAGUCUUCGAUGGAUAGGGGUUCUGAGAGGAAGGUCCCCCACAUUGGAACUGAGACACGGUCCAAACUCCUACGGGAGGCAGCAGUGAGGAAUAUUGGUCAAUGGACGAGAGUCUGAACCAGCCAAGUAGCGUGCAGGAUGACGGCCCUAUGGGUUGUAAACUGCUUUUAUAAGGGAAUAAAGUGAGUCUCGUGAGACUUUUUGCAUGUACCUUAUGAAUAAGGACCGGCUAAUUCCGUG
rnacentral:rRNA from 1 species